UACGGAGGGAGCUAGCGUUAUUCGGAAUUACUGGGCGUAAAGCGCACGUAGGCGGCUUUGCAAGUCAGAGGUGAAAGCCCGGGGCUCAACCCCGGAAUAGCCUUUGAGACUGCAUCGCUUGAACAUCGGAGAGGUAAGUUGGAAUUCCGAGUGUAGAGGUGAAAUUCGUAGAUAUUCGGAAGAACACCAGUGGCGAAGGCGACUUACUGGACGAUUGUUGACGCUGAGGUGCGAAAGCGUGGGGAGCAAACAGG
rnacentral:rRNA from 1 species